GCAUAUCAAUAAGCGGAGGAAAAAGGAACUAACAAGGAUUCCCCUAGUAACUGCGAGUGAAGCGGGAAAAGCUCAAAUUUAAAAUCUGGYGGCCUUCGGUCAUCCGAGUUGUAAUCUAGAGAAGUGUUACCCGCGUCGGACCGUGUACAAGUCUCCUGGAAUGGAGCGUCAUAGAGGGUGAGAAUCCCGUCUUUGACACGGACUACCGAGGCUUUGUGGUGCGCUCUCAACGAGUCGAGUUGUUUGGGAAUGCAGCUCAAAAUGGGUGGUAAAUUCCAUCUAAAGCUAAAUAUUGGCGAGAGACCGAUAGCGAACAAGUACCGUGAGGGAAAGAUGAAAAGAACUUUGGAAAGAGAGUUAAACAGUACGUGAAAUUGCUGAAAGGGAAACGCUUGAAGUCAGUCGCGUUGGCCGGAAAUCAGCCUUCCUUUUGGUUGGUGUACUUUCUGGUUGACGGGCCAGCAUCAGUUUUGACCGGUGGAUAAAGUUGUAGGGAAUGUGGCAUCUUCGGGUGUGUUAUAGCCUUGCUUCGUAUACAUCGGUUGGGACUGAGGAACUCAGCACGCCGAAAGGCCGGGGUUCGCCCACGAUCGUGCUUAGGAUGCUGGCAUAAUGGCUUUAAUCGACCCGUCUUGAAACACGGACCAAGGAGUCUAACAUGCCUGCGAGUGUUUGGGUGGAAAACCCGAGCGCGUAAUGAAAGUGAAAGUCGAGAUCCUUGUCAUGGGGAGCAUCGACGCCCGGACCAGACGUUUUCUGACGGUUCUGCGGUAGAGCAUGUAUGUUGGGACCCGAAAGAUGGUGAACUAUGCCUGAAUAGGGUGAAGCCAGAGGAAACUCUGGUGGAGGCUCGUAGCGAUUCUGACGUGCAAAUCGAUCGUCAAAUUUGGGUAUAGGGGCGAAAGACUAAUCGAACCAUCUAGUAGCUGGUUCCUGCGA
rnacentral:rRNA from 1 species